AUUGAACGCUGGCGGCGUGCCUAAUACAUGCAAGUAGGACGCAGUUGCGACCGGGUGAGUAACGCGUAGGUAACUGCCUAUACGAGGGGGAUAACUAUUGGAAACGAUAGAUAAUACCGCAUACUAGUAGAUGGACCUGCGUUGUAUUAGCGAGUAGGUAGGGUAAUGGCCUACCUAGGCGACGAUACAUAGCCGACCUGGAGGGGUGAUCGGACAAAAGGGGACGGAGACACGGCCCAGACUCCUACGGGAGGCAGCAGUAGGGAAUCUUCGGCAAUGGGGGGAACCCGGACCGAGCAAAGCCGCGUGAGUGAAGAAGGUUUUCGGAUCGUAAAGCUCUGUUGUUAAGGAAGCGGUACUUAACCAGAAAGGGACGGCUAACUACGUGCCAGCAGCCGCGGUAAUAC
rnacentral:rRNA from 1 species